rnacentral:rRNA from 1 species
GACGAACGCUGGCGGCGUGCUUAACACAUGCAAGUCGAACGAUGAUGCCCAGCUUGCUGGGCGGAUUAGUGGCGAACGGGUGAGUAAUACGUGAGUAACCUGCCCUUGACUCUGGGAUAAGCCUGGGAAACUGGGUCUAAUACUGGAUACUACCUCUUGCCGCAUGGUGGGUGGUGGAAAGGGUUUUACUGGUUUUGGAUGGGCUCACGGCCUAUCAGCUUGUUGGUGGGGUAAUGGCUCACCAAGGCGACGACGGGUAGCCGGCCUGAGAGGGUGACCGGCCACACUGGGACUGAGACACGGCCCAGACUCCUACGGGAGGCAGCAGUGGGGAAUAUUGCACAAUGGGCGGAAGCCUGAUGCAGCGACGCCGCGUGAGGGAUGACGGCCUUCGGGUUGUAAACCUCUUUCAGUAGGGAAGAAGCGAGAGUGACGGUACCUGCAGAAGAAGCGCCGGCUAACUACGUGCCAGCAGCCGCGGUAAUACGUAGGGCGCAAGCGUUGUCCGGAAUUAUUGGGCGUAAAGAGCUCGUAGGCGGUUUGUCGCGUCUGCUGUGAAAGCCCGGGGCUCAACCCCGGGUCUGCAGUGGGUACGGGCAGACUAGAGUGCAGUAGGGGAGACUGGAAUUCCUGGUGUAGCGGUGAAAUGCGCAGAUAUCAGGAGGAACACCGAUGGCGAAGGCAGGUCUCUGGGCUGUUACUGACGCUGAGGAGCGAAAGCAUGGGGAGCGAACAGGAUUAGAUACCCUGGUAGUCCAUGCCGUAAACGUUGGGCACUAGGUGUGGGGGACAUUCCACGUUUUCCGCGCCGUAGCUAACGCAUUAAGUGCCCCGCCUGGGGAGUACGGCCGCAAGGCUAAAACUCAAAGGAAUUGACGGGGGCCCGCACAAGCGGCGGAGCAUGCGGAUUAAUUCGAUGCAACGCGAAGAACCUUACCAAGGCUUGACAUUCACCGGACCGCCCCAGAGAUGGGGUUUCCCUUCGGGGCUGGUGGACAGGUGGUGCAUGGUUGUCGUCAGCUCGUGUCGUGAGAUGUUGGGUUAAGUCCCGCAACGAGCGCAACCCUCGUUCUAUGUUGCCAGCACGUGAUGGUGGGGACUCAUAGGAGACUGCCGGGGUCAACUCGGAGGAAGGUGGGGAUGACGUCAAAUCAUCAUGCCCCUUAUGUCUUGGGCUUCACGCAUGCUACAAUGGCCGGUACAAAGGGUUGCGAUACUGUGAGGUGGAGCUAAUCCCAAAAAGCCGGUCUCAGUUCGGAUUGAGGUCUGCAACUCGACCUCAUGAAGUCGGAGUCGCUAGUAAUCGCAGAUCAGCAACGCUGCGGUGAAUACGUUCCCGGGCCUUGUACACACCGCCCGUCAAGUCACGAAAGUUGGUAACACCCCGAAGCCGGUGGCCUAACCCCUUGUGGGAGGGAGCCGUCGAAGGUGGACUGGCA